GAUGAACGCUGGCGGCGUGCCUAAUACAUGCAAGUCGAGCGAACGGACGAGGAGCUUGCUUUGCUGAUGUUAGCGGCGGACGGGUGAGGAACACGUGGAUAACCGACCUAUAAGACUGAGAUAACGUCGGGAAACCGGUUCUAAUACCGGAUAAUAUUUUGAACCGCAUGGUUCUAAGGUGAAAGACGGUCUUGCUGUCACUUGUAGAGGGAUCCUCGCUGCAUUAGCUAGUUGGUAAGGUAACGGCUUACCAAGGCAACGAUGCAUGGCCGAUCUGAGAGGGUGAUCGGUCACACUGGAACUGAGACACGGUCCAGACUCCAAGGGAGGGCAGAGUAGGGAAUCUUUCGCAAAGGGGCAAAGGCUGACGGCAGACAGGCCGGUGAGUUAUAGAAGUGCUUCGAACGGAAAACUAUGUUAUGAUGGAAGAAAAUAUGUGUAAGUAACUGUGCACAUCUUGAAGGUACCUAACAAGAAAGGCACGGCCAACCACGUG
rnacentral:rRNA from 1 species